UUCCGAUGAUGAGGUCGACAACAUUGGUGAUAUCGAUACUCCUCCUCGGUUGUUUCUCCUUCUUUUUCUCUUAUGACCAAGAAAUCAAGUUCAACUGAGCUUUGGCAAUUUCUUUUAGGAUUGAUUCAAUCGAUUUAGAAGAGGUCACAACAGGUGGAGAUCAAAUACGGGCAAUAGAGGUCCAAACCUAAAUCGGGGAAGAUGCUGCAUCGACAGAGAGUCAAUUUAUUAUUUUUUCUUCACACCGAUUUAUGGAGAUGGAGACCCCGACGACGACCAUAUUCAAAGAUUGCAUUGGUUCUCGGCUACUUCCAUCAUUGAUUGAUCGGAUACGUGGUCAUUUGGUGGUUUGGGUGGGUUACAUAUGUGGUCUUUCUAUUUGUCACAGUUACCCAGUACCAAUGUCGCUAUGUCGCUGGUUGAAUUCUGGUUGAGAAUUGGACUUCUCAUACGUUCCCAUGUUGAUUUCCUUCUUUUUUUUUCCAUUUCUAAUAUUUUAAGGAACAUGGGACGACAUAAAAAGGGAGGCGAUCGGAUCUACAAGGAUAACUAAUUCCCCUUAAAUCUUCUAAGAAAACGAAGGAUGAAGAGAAAUCAGGAGAAAAGGAAUUGAAUUAUUUGUGUAAGGUUGCUAUUGUUCAAUCUGAAGUACCUUCUGGUAAGUUUUGUACUGAUUUUGAUUUCCAAAUCAUUAUGAUUUUUACUUUUAUUUUGCAGCAAGAUAGGAGUUUGCUUUUACAAGAUGCCAACUGAUCUGAAUGAGAAGAUCUUUGACCAAAACAUGGAUUUUACAUAUUGUUCUUAGCAAUAAAAUGUAGAUAGUAUAAUUCCUUCAUAUCAAGAAACUGUAGUUCAUAUAGCUAAAGGGGUUAAGCCACUUCCAGCUUGCCUGCCACCCAUUUGAUGGAAUGCCUAAACCAAAAAGAGCUCUAUUUUGUAUGUAAUUUCUGCAAAAGUAAGUGGUAAUAGCAGUAUGGGUGCUACUAAGUGGAAGCAUUCCAAAACAUGUUUGUGAAAUGAAAUUUUAUUUGUUAAAAUUAUUUAGGGCUAAUGUCAUAAAAACCCUAAGUUUUCAAGGUUUUGUCGGUUUUGCCCAAAGUUGAAUUUUAUGUCCGUUUUUACCCUAACAUUUUCCAAAAAAUGUUCGGUUUUACCAUUUUACCGGUGACAACAUGUUACCAUUAUAUUAACUUCGCAAAAAAACCCUUAAGUUUACAGUUUUUUUUUACGUUUUUACCCUUAAGUUUACAAUUUUUUAACACUUUUACCCUAUGUAUUU